AGGCUUGAGUGGUUUGCGGAAUGCUAGCUGCAUCCACAUACAUUAAUUUGUAAAAGCCUAACGAAUUAUCAAAUAAGCCUUACGUAAUGCAACACUCUCUUAGUCCUCCAUACAAAAAAAGGUUUAUUUCGCGGACAUAUUUUGGAAGGAGUAAAUCCUCUCGCUUUGCCUCUUCCUCUCUGUCCAUGCUCCGCAUUCAGACGUAAAUUGAAAAGUAUGUAUGAUACUUCGAUGUGCAUGUGAUUUGCAUCCGGUCAUGUAAAAUUGUAAUUAUAGUGGCAAUGACUGCAGAAAAUAGUCCGCUAGAUUCGUUAUCGGUCAGUAGUUUAGCUAGUUAACCAGUUAAAUUUGUUUUAUAAAUCUCAAAACACUGCGUCUGGUUUCGAAUAGCGAUUCAUACAGUGUUAUAGAUGUGCAGUAGCAACAAGGAUCGUGUGAGAUGAACUUUAAAGAGCAUUAUUUAAUUUUGAAUCAAAUCUAAGUGAAAGACAAGCAGACAAAACGGAUUUGUAUACAAUAGCACAGCAGACUUCGUUGGUUUUCAGCUUCUGGUUUCACCCGCACCCAUUUCGUUUGGUAUACAAAACACAGAGAAAAUGGCGGAAUUUGAGGACUAAGCACUGCCAAAACAAUGCAGGAGAAUCGAGAUGAAGAGGAGCCCCAAGAUACUGAUGACUAAGCCAGUCAAGAUGCAAGACAACGCAAGUUUUGAGGAAAAGCUCAUUGAAGAGGUAGAGGAGAUGGACACCUCAGAAGACCUGCAAGAUGACAACCUGAUCGAGCGGGACCUCUUCCACAGUUCUAAUAAUGAACAGCAAGAUGGAUAUUUUGUAGUUAGGAGGAAUGUAAUAUUAGAACGAACAAAAUUCAACCAAAGACAACAAGAAGCAGGAGAGACAGCUGAUGAUUUUAUCUCUGCACUUCAUUGUUUGUCAGAACAUUGUGGUUAUGGAGCUCUGCUCAGUGAGAUGAUAAGAGACAGACUAGUCAUGGGCUUAUGUGACAGAAGACUGUCUGAGCAAUUACAAAUGGACCCAGAACUAACACUUGAUAAAGCUGUCACACGCAUUCGUCAAACUGAACUUGUGAAAAAGCCAGAGGACCUGCCGGAGUAUACCUUCAAAGUUGCCAGCAAUGCAGCAAAUGUAGAGAGUGUGCUUUCACAUAGCAAACAGCAAUUCCCAGCUAAUACCCAGUGCCAAUCAGAGAAGAAUCAAAACUCAGAAAGACCACAACAAACCCAAACAACACAGGAGAAAGAAGAGGAGCCCGUAGAUACUGAUGACUCUGAUGAUUGGAUCGAUGGUUUCAGUCCUGGAGGAGAGAAGCCACACUACUGCUUUGACUGCGGUAAGAGCUUUAGAAAAGUGAGGGAUCUUAUAAGACACCAGAGAUCACAUACUGGAGAGAAGCCUCACCACUGCCCUGUUUGCGACAGAAGUUUUGCUCAAUUAGAUAAGCUUAAAUUACACAAAAAAAUGCAUAUGAAAGAGGAACAUGUCACACAGACGGAAGAAACUAAACUGAAGGUAGACCGUGUGCACACACAGCAAAGAACCGCCAGCAGAGGCAGGCAGAAGACUAAAAUGCGUGCAGAAACACCAAGAAAAAUAGUCCAGUCACAGCCAGGAAAAGAAUUGUCUUGCAAAAGUUCAAUUAGAAAGAAUCAACACUCAGAAAAACUGCGACAAUCCCAAACAAUGCAGGAGAAUGAAGAGGAUCCUGAAGAUACUUCUGAUGACUGGACCGAGAGUUUCAGUACUGUAGAGAAGCCAUACAUCUGCUCCGACUGUGGUAAGAGCUUCAAACAAGCGAAUCGUCUUAUAAGACAUCAGCGAACACAUACAGGAGAGAAGCCUUACAACUGCCCUGACUGUGACAAAAGUUUUGCUCGAUUAGAUAAUCUUAAAUUACACCAAAAAACACAUAUGAAGGAGGAAUGUAAUUUCCGCUGCUCUGACUGUGUGAAAAGCUUUGUCCGACUGAAGCAGCUUGAAAAACAUCAGCUAACACACAAGAAAAGUUUUGAAAGACACAGGAUACAUUUAAGCAAAAGAAAACAAUUUCUCUGCACAAUUUGCGGGAAGGAGUGUCGCAACAUGAAAAUACACAUGCGAAUACACACUGGAGAGACACCGUAUCACUGCACUGAGUGUGGGAAGAGUUUUCCAUAUACAAAAUCAUACCAAAGACACAUACUAACACAUAAUACCUCUGGAGAAAGAGCAACCUAUCCUUGUUUGGAAUGUGGAAAGUGUUUUACUCGCAGAGAUGGCAUGUUGAGACACGUGAGGAGGAUUCAUACUGGAGAGAGAAAUCAUCAGUGCAAAGACUGUGGAAAGCGAUUCUUUCGAAAAGAGACCCUGAAGAGACACAUGCUAGUUCACACUGGAGAGAAACCAUACCAAUGCUCUGUCUGUGGGCAACGCUUCUCCCAAGAUGGAGACAGAAAACGCCAUGAGAAGAGGCACUACUCUGGUGUCUCAAAUUUCCUCGAUUUAUAAUGCAGAAGUGGUGGAGGUACAGUAGCCUAGUGGUUAAGAGCAUUGGGCCAGUAACCGAAAGGUUGCUGGUUCAAAUCCCCAAACUUACUAGGUGAAGAAUCUGUCGGUGCCCUUGAAUAAGGCACUUAGUCCUAAUGGUUCCUGUAAGUCACCUUGAAUAAGAUGUCAUGUAAAUUGUGUUUGGCAUUGCAGGAAGUGGGAACCUACCUAAUCACUGUGACUUGAUAAUCUAAUAAUCUGUUAACUACAAUGUUGGUGGCCUGGAAUUGGCACCACAGACUGUUGAAGACACUCACAGACGGACUGUGUAUUACUGUCUUCAUAGCAGUAUUUAUUUUUUUCAAAAUCAAGGGUUGUAACCAGUUCAGGGAACCGGACUUAAAACAUGGAAAAUAACUACAUUAUUUGAGUAACACUAACUGAAAACGAAAGUGAUCUAUACUGUUCCGGAACAGAACCAUUAUUUUAAAAGUAUGGGAACCAGUUAAUAACAUUAUUUAAAGUUUUCCAGUCCCACAAAAAUCGCAAACAAAGCCCAUAUGCAAAGCCAUCUGUCACUCAAACUUAUUCCAGCGCCUGCCUGCCAGUUGGAAUUCUUUGCCAGUGAGUGUGUGUGUGUUUUGGAGACCUGCCCCUCCCAUCUGAAGCAUAGGUUACUGUAGACUACUGAUGACGUAACAAGUGUAAUUUUUAAAAAAAAUAGGCAGAGCUGUUUAAUAAAAUUAUGGAUUGAUUUAUACAAUUGGUCAGAACAGUGGAGAAAAAAAGUAAUGUUCAGAACGAAAUGAUUGGAAAAUAAUUUCAGUUCCGACCCAUGUUUUUAAAUAUAUAUAUAUGUAUAUGUGUAUAUAUAUGUGUGUGUGUGUGUUCAAAUAUCAAUUAGAACAAUAUCUUCAAGGACACAACGUUAAGUCUGAUAUAAUAUAAGCAAUUUUGGUGCCACGAUUACCAUUUUCCCAUUCACUAUAAUGACGGAUCCUGUUUCCUGGAAACAGCCUGCAGUAAUGCCGUCGGCCUUGAACUUCGUGAGCAGGGUGCAAUUGCGGCCUGCAAUUCGGGGCGUUCGAACCCCUCUUUAUACUUCUAUUUGUACAUUUUUAAGUUACGAGAGGCAGGGGCGCUCCAGUACAUUAGAUGGCAUUAAUGCACAAAGGCGUUGGAUGCCAGCCGCCGAUAAACCCCACAGAAGAAGGGAGGGGACGACCGGUAGCCAGGGGACGACCGGUGGACAGUGUCCUUCGCCUCCACCUGUUCUGUUAACGAUGGUCCCAAUCACAUUUCUGUUGAGUUCUGUUAACGACGGCGAGGGCAGGCGGGAGCGAAGGACACUGUCUACCGGUGUCGCUAGCUAGUAAGCAGGACUCGGGUAUACAGCAGGCCGCUAGCUGAGAUGCGGGGCGACCGGGGCACUGUACUUCACCCCAGCCUGUUGGGCACCGUUUUCCUGCAAUUCUGUUAACGGCAGUGAAGGCAGGCGGGACACAAGGACACUUUUGGACUUUCUAUACUCUGCAUUCAGACAAAGUGAAAACGUCUGUAAGCACUUUACGACAUUUAAACAUGCAUGUGAUUCGCAUAUCCAAUGUUUAUUUGACCUUGGUCACCACCAUACAGUUGCGCACACACACACCAUAUAAGUAUUUUUGUGCAUAGGAUGGACUGGUUCUGAAAGGUAAGAACAAAUAAUGUGGUAAGCUAUGCAAUAGGAAUAUCUACACAGGAAACAAUGGCAUAGCAUCUAUACAGGGAUAUUCACAUAACAGCAUACAUACAUGAACAUCUCGCAGAGAGCGAGAUAACUAAUUACUUUACAGGCGAGAUUGAUGGCGAGCUCUGAUCUGUGACUGGUGCCACAGAGUAAUCCAUUUUACUGCGCAUGCGGGAGCGCUGAAGACAGUCUGAAAGUUCUAGAAUCUCUGGCCGUGACUUAACACUAGCGUGACCUUUGAAAACGCAGCGCUAAAGUGCGCAUACAGACUAGAAAUGAACCAACUCUAAACAAUAACAUCUAAUGCAAAACACAUGAAAUACAAGCACUUAUAAACGACAUGGAGUAUCUGAAAUGUACAUAAACUGCAGCAGUACUAUACAGCUACAAAUGUAACAAUGGAGGUUGGUGGCACCUUAAUUGGGGAGGACAGGCUUUUUGUAACGGCUGGAGUGUAAUCAGUGGAAUGGUAUAAAAUAAAUCAAACACACGAGCUGUGUUCGAAUACCCAUACUAACAUACUUAAUGAAUAUAUACUAUAUACUAUUAGUUCAUUUUAGUAUACUGUAAACGAACGGUAUUGUUUCAGUUGAGCGUACUAGAACUUCGCCUGUCUACCGGACGUUGAUGCAGUUGCUAUGCAACCUCUUGCUAGCUUGUUAGCAUAACAAAUGACUAGCUAACAUUUUAAGAAUCAGAGUAGAUAGCUAGAAUGAACAAUGUCCAUCGACACGCACAACGACUAUAGUACUUAGCGAAGAAUAAUGUCAAUAAUCAAGUCAAACGUUAGUAGUUAGUUAGUUAAUAUACUGCCUGGCAAGUUCGAUGUAUUAGUAGCCAACUAACGUUAGGUAGCUAGCUAACAUACCGGUACAUACUGCUGUAAUCCUAUGCGGUUCGUAAGGAUAGCGUAGCUAACAAAUUGUCAGGCAACAUAAUGUGUAAUGUUACUUAUUUGAAAAGUCAUUACUUUAUUACAUUGCUCAACAUUUUCUUAAAAUUGUUCAGAAUUAGAUAAAGCAAUGAAUUUGUAUUUUGGUGUAUUUAGUACGACAUCCGGGAACUUUUGGCAUACUAACUAUGACCAAUAAGCAUACUAUAUACUCAAUUCACGUCACAAAGAGUAUGGUUAGUGCAGUUAGUAUGAGUAUUCGAACACAGCUACGGUUUCCAUGUGUUUGGUGCCAUUCCAUUUUCUCCUUUGCAGAUAUUAUUAAGAGCCGUCCUCCCCUCAGCAGCCUCCACCGAAUUAGGCCUCAGGUAAUUGCUUUCAGUCAAUCACCAUAACAUAGCAUUAACCCUCUCUAGACAAACCCCACAACUCACUUAUUGGAUGCACAAACAAUCUUCCUCAAACACACUGAUAACCCUACCGGCAUCCAAACUUGCGUCUUCGUCUGCCGAAUUCAGAUGACCAUCCUACCCAUGCUGGAUUAUGGAGACGUAAUUUAUAGAUCGGCAGGUAAGGGUGCUCUCGAGCGGCUAGAUGUUCUUUACCAUUCGGCCAUCAGAUUUGCCACCAAUAGGACACAUCACUGCACUCUAUACUCUUCUGUAAACUGCUCAUCUCUGUAUACCUGUUGCAAGACCUGCUGGUUGAUGCUUAUUUAUAAAACCCUCUUAGGCCUCACUCCCCCCAAUCUGAGAUAUCUACUGCAGCUCCUCCACAUCCAACACCUGUUCUGCCAGUCCACAUUCUGUUGAAGGUCCCCAAAGCACACACAUCCCUGGGUCGCUCCUCCUUUCAGUUCUCUGCAACUACUAGCGACUGCAACGAGCUGCAACAAAUACUCAAACUGGACACUGGACACUUUCAUCUCAAUCUCUUCAUUCAAAGACAAUCAUGGACACUUACUGAUAAUUGUGGCUGCUUUGAGUGAUGUAUUGUUGUCUCUACCUUGCCCUUUGUUGGGCACAGACAACAGCACAAUGUUUGCACCCUGUUUUGUGCUGCUACCAUGUUGUGUUCCUACCAUCACGUGUUGCUGCAUUGCUAUGUUGUCAUCUUAGGUCUCUAUGUAGUGUUGUGUUGUCUCUUCUAGGGUUGCACAUUUUGGGGAGUAUUCAGAGGUGGAAACUUUCUGUGGGAAUUAAGGGGAAUAUAUGCAAAUUAAUAUCAUUUAAAUGUAGAUGUUUUUCUGCAUUGGAUAUAUUUACCAUAUCAUAUGGAGACAGAAACAUACACCUUUUAGCUUAUCAUAAGUAGACAUCAUUGCAAAUGAUUAAAUCCUUCCAAUAGAAAUAAAAACAACUAUUUAGUUAUGAA